rnacentral:misc_RNA from 1 species
GUGAGUCAUCGAAUCUUUGAACGCACAUUGCGCCCUUUGGUAUUCCAGAGGGCAUGCCUGUUCGAGCGUCAUUACAACCCUCAAGCUCUGCUUGGUAUUGAGUGUCACCUAUUGCGGUGUACCUAAAAUUCAUUGGCAGUGCCGUCAGCUUCCAGCGCAGUAAUCUCUUCUCGCUGGGAAGGUUGAGUAAGGUGCUUGCCAGCAAGCCCUAAUUUAUCAAUGGUUGACCUCGGAUCAGGUAGGGAUACCCGCUGAACUUAAGCAUAUCAAUAAGCGGAGGA